rnacentral:rRNA from 1 species
UACGUAGGGUGCAAGCGUUGUCCGGAAUUAUUGGGCGUAAAGAGCUCGUAGGCGGUCUGUCGCGUCUGCUGUGAAAACUCAGGGCUUAACCCUGAGCUUGCAGUGGGUACGGGCGGACUAGAGUGCGGUAGGGGAGACUGGAAUUCCUGGUGUAGCGGUGAAAUGCGCAGAUAUCAGGAGGAAUACCGGUGGCGAAGGCGGCAUCCUGGACCGACAUUGACGCUGAGGAGCGAAAGCUAGGGGAGCAAACGGG